UACGAAGGGGGCUAGCGUUGUUCGGAAUUACUGGGCGUAAAGCGCACGUAGGCGGACAUUUAAGUCAGGGGUGAAAUCCCAGAGCUCAACUCUGGAACUGCCUUUGAUACUGGGUGUCUUGAGUAUGGAAGAGGUGAGUGGAAUUCCGAGUGUAGAGGUGAAAUUCGUAGAUAUUCGGAGGAACACCAGUGGCGAAAGGCGGCUCACUGGUCCGGUACUGACGCUGAGGUGCGAAAGCGUGGGGAGCAAAACAGG
rnacentral:rRNA from 1 species